rnacentral:rRNA from 1 species
UACAGAGGGUGCAAGCGUUAUCCGGAAUUAUUGGGCGUAAAGCGUUUGUAGGUGGCUUUUUAAGUCCGCCGUCAAAUCCCAGGGCUCAACUCUGGACAGGCGGUGGAAACUAGCAAGCUGGAGUACGGUAGGGGCGGAGGGAAUUUCCGGUGGAGCGGUGAAAUGCGUAGAGAUCGGGAAGAACACCAACGGCGAAAGCACUCUGCUGGGCCGACACUGACACUGAGAGACGAAAGCUAGGGGAGCGAAUGGG